rnacentral:rRNA from 1 species
AACGAACGUUAGCGGCGCGCUUAACACAUGCAAGUCGAGCGAGAAAGGGGCAACCCCGGUAAAGCGGCGCACGGGUGAGUAACACGUAGGUAAUCUACCCCUCGGGUGGAGGAUAACUUUCCGAAAGGAAGGCUAAUACUGCAUGAGACCACGACCUCGAAAGGGGAUGGGGUCAAAGCCGGCCUCUGUACACAAGCUGGCGCCUGAGGAUGAGCCUGCGGCCCAUCAGCUAGUUGGUAGGGUAAUGGCCUACCAAGGCGAAGACGGGUAGCUGGUCUGAGAGGAUGAUCAGCCACACUGGAACUGAGACACGGUCCAGACUCCUACGGGAGGCAGCAGUGGGGAAUCUUGCGCAAUGGGCGAAAGCCUGACGCAGCGACGCCGCGUGAGUGAUGAAGGCCUCGGUUGUAAGGACUCUGUGGUAGAGGGACGGAAGUAAAGUGUUAGGCGUAACAUCCAGCAUGAUGACGGUACC